UACGGGGGGGCAAGCGUUGUUCGGAAUUACUGGGCGUAAAGGGCUCGUAGGUGGCCAACUAAGUCAGACGUGAAAUCCCUCGGCUUAACCGGGGAACUGCGUCUGAUACUGGAUGGCUUGAGAUUGGGAGAGGGAUGCGGAAUUCCAGGUGUAGCGGUGAAAUGCGUAGAUAUCUGGAGGAACACCGUGGCGAAGGCGGCAUCCUGGACCACGACUGACGCUGAAUAGCGAAAGCCAGGGGAGCAACGGG
rnacentral:rRNA from 1 species